rnacentral:pre_miRNA from 1 species
UGUCUUUUUCCGCUUUGCUGCCGCUGUUGUUUAGAGAUUCGACAGCAAAGUGGAAGAGGCCGA